AUGGAGCCGGACGCCGAGCAGCUGGUGCGCCGCUACUUCGUGGCCAGCCGGCGCGUGCGCACCUCAAACGUGCCGGACGUGCCUGUGGCAGCUGUCAACACCAUCACGGGGUUGGCGCACGCCUUCGCGCAGCUGUCUCUGCGGCGUGACGUCACCGUGGAUGACGUCACCAUGGCGGUCCUGCUGUACGAGGAGUCGCUGGUGGCGUGCUUCGGGUACUCGCCGCUGGACGUCGGCCACACGCCGCACGUGCGUGAGGCGGAUCUGGACGCCAACCUGGGUAGGCAGAACGACGAAAGGAUGCGGGAGUUCCAGCGCCGUCUGGAGGACUUCAUCGACGAGUGGGCAGAUCUGUGAACAGCCACGAGGCGAAGCCUGGCGGACUGGACGACCAGGGUGUCUCUGGAAACUAGAUCAGGGUGUUCGUCUCUUCUCUUUGAUUGAGUCCAGUCUCGAAUCCAGGGUGUACGACCUCGGUCAGGCAUACUGUCUUGACUGAUUGUCAGUUAUUCUGUUCUAGUCCUUCCACCAUGGUUGAAGCAUACUUGUUUUCCUUUGCUGCUGCCGGCGCUCGAUUGUCGUCGUCAUAUCGUUUUUUGUCUUUUCAUCGUCACUUGAAGUGUAGCUGUUAUUGGUUCUGUUGCAAGCGCUCCGAAAAUUGUCCUGUUUAAGAAUUCACGUCAUCAUUUAAUGAGUUGUGUGUUGUUUGAAGUAUGUGAACGCUGAGGUUGUAGCAAU